UCUGUAGCUCUCUGUUUUUCUUGCUCUCCCCCGAAAAUCCCUCCGUCUUUUUUUUUUUCAAGCCCCCCUUUUCCUUUCCUUCCUCCCCCCACCCAUCCCAAAAGAAAAAAACUCUCCUCCUCGGACUACUCCAUACCUACCCCUUUCCAACUUCUCUGCCAGCUUCCCCCAACUGGUUUCUUCUCCACCGAGCCUUCACCAGCUUUACUGCUCACCAUCCACUCAUCUCUCCUCUGUUCAGAAGAAGUCCCCAUCCCAACCACCACCAUGGCGAAGUGGUGGUGUCUUCUUGCCACGCGUCCCACGCAGCUGUUAGCACUUGUGGAGAGGUCGUCCCCCACUUUCCCAAAAAAAAAGGCCAGCUCACUCUUCUGUAGCCAAAGAGGGGUCUACAUAAAGGAGGAGAUGAUAUCGGUUUUUGUGGCUCAUAAUAAAGCAAUGGCGAGGGUCAUUGGGUUGCUGGUUUUCAUCGGAUUUGUUGGAGCUUUGGUGUACUUCAAUGUUUUCACACAUCAACUUGCCCAUGCUCAACUUCAAAUCAGAGCUCGACCUCGACGAAUUCUGAUGGAUACCGACGUCGAUAUGGAUGAUUUCUUCAGUCUCUUCUAUUUGUUGAAGGAAAAUACAUCUGAAUUCAACUUAGAGGCAAUUACACUAAGUGCAAAUGGAUGGUGUGAUAGUGGACACGGCAUAAAUCACAUAUAUGACCUUUUGUUUAUGAUGGGUCGUGAUGAUAUUCCGGUUGGAGUGGGGGGUGAAGGUGGUAUUUUACCAAAUGGUACCAUUCUCCCAAAUGUGGGUGGUUAUCUUCCAAUUAUUGAUCAGGGCACUUCCACUGCAGGUGGUUGCAGAUACAGACAAGCAAUACCAAUGGGUGCCAAGGGACUUUUGGAUAUCGACACUAUGUACGGUUUACGUAAAGGGUUUCUUCCACAGGGUAGCAGGGGAUACUCUCCUCUUGAGCAACCUACUGCACAACAAGUGAUGAUUAAUGCAGUAUCUGCUGGUCCUAUAACCGUGUUUCUUUUGGGUACACACACAAAUUUUGCCAUUUUUCUUAUGAAAAAUCCUCAACUGAAGAAAAAUAUUGAGCAUAUUUAUGUCAUGGGUGGUAGUAUUCAGCCACACUGUCCAAAGAAGAACAACUCCAAGCCAGAAGAGUGUGGUAAUAUUGGCAAUUUGUUUCCAGGCGAUGACAAUCCAUAUGCAGAAUUCAAUUUCUUUGAAGAUCCUUUUGCUGCAUAUGAGGUAUUGCAUUCUGGUAUUCCAGUUACACUGAUUCCACUGGAUGCAACAAACACCAUCCCUAUUACUGAGAAUUUCUUUAAGGCAUUUGAGCAAAAACAGAAUACUUACGAGGCACAAUACAGCUUCAAAGCCAUGAAGAUGGCUCACGAUACCUGGUUCGACAACCACUUCCAUGAGAAUGUUUUCAUGUGGGACUAUUUUAUGGUUGGUGUUGCUUUAUCGAUCAUGCGUAAUUCAGCAAAUGAUAAUGGAGAAAAUGAAUUUGCUGUUAUGGAGUAUAUGAACAUCACAGUGGUUACUUCAAAUGAACCCUAUGGAAUAUCAGAUGGCUCAAAUCCAUUCAAUGAUGGCUCUACAACCUCAAAGUUCAAGAAUGGUGUACAUAGUGGUCAUGUUCAGACUGGAAAUCGAGAUCCAUUUUGCCUUGAGAAGAAUCAGAAAGGGAGAUGUAAGGAUGGUUAUACAAUGGAGGUAACUGGUCCAGACUCAGUGCGUGUCCUUGUAGCUACAGAAGCUAAAAGAAAUCAAGAUGCUAACAGUUUGCUUGACAGAGAAUUUUAUAAAAGCUUCUUGGAUGUUAUAAGCCGUCCUCAGCAAAGCGGGCGGUUUAACAUAUCAACACAAUUUCCUUACUAUGGGGAAAUAUUUUACAAGCCAGAUUUUGGAACAAGAAAAAAGGGAAAACCAUUUGUUUUUGACAUGGAUAUGAGCACGGGAGAUUUGAUAGCUCUUCUAUAUCUCCUGAAAUUACCAGUGGAACAAAUUGACCUCAAGGGAAUAUUGGUAAGUCCAAAUGGCUGGGCAAGUGCUGCAACAAUUGAUAUUGUAUAUGAUGUACUACAUAUGAUGGGUCGGGAUGACAUACCAGUUGGUCUUGGAGAUGUAUUUGCAAUUGGCCAGAAGGAGCAAACCUUCCCUCUUUUUGGAGACUGCAAGUAUAGGAAGGCUAUCCCACUUGGUGGUGGUGGUUUGCUGGACUCUGACACACUUUAUGGGUUCGCUCGUGACUUGCCUCGUAGUCCUAGAAGAUACACAGCAGAAAACUCUGUAAAAUUUGGAGCUCCUCGAGAUACGGAUCACCCUGAAGUUAGGCAACCAUUAGCAUUAGAAGUUUGGAAAUCAAUUGUAGAUUCAACAGAUCCAGGAUCUAAGAUUACUUAUUUGACCAAUGGACCCCUGACUAAUCUAGCCCAAGUAAUCUCUUCAGAGAGAGCGACUUCAGUGAUUCAGGAUCUAUGUAUAGUUGGGGGACACAUUGACAACAAGACAGGAAAUCUCUUCACUGUUCCCUCAAAUGAAUUUGCAGAAUUCAACAUGUUUCUUGACCCUUUAGCAGUAAAGGUGGUGAUGGACUCAAAGCUCAAUGUCACACUCAUUCCACUGGGUGUGCAAAGGAGUGUUAGUUCAUUCAAUCAUGUUCUUCAAAGAUUGGAGCACAAGAAUCAGACCCCUGAAGCUGCAUUUACCCAAAAUCUACUUUCAAGGCUAUCACAAUUACAACAAAAGAGUGACAGAUAUCAUCACAUGGAUACAUUCUUGGGUGAAAUCCUUGGUGCAGUGGUCUUGGCUGGUGAUGAUCCUCUUUUGAACCAAGCAUUCCAACACAUGCCUCUCAAGAUCUUGGCUAAUGGUGUUGUGAAGAAUGAUGGACAGAUUGUCAUUGAUGAAAAACAAGGAAGAUUAGUGAAAGUACUUAGAAGUGUGAAUACUACAGAAUAUUAUGACCAUUUUGCAGAUGUGUUGAAUAACAAAAGUCAGUCUGCUAGGAUUGGAAGCUUCGCUGAGCAGAAAAGAAUAUGGACCACACCACCAAAUAGGUUUCUGUAAUAGGUGCUUCCCUUACUGGCCUAAUGCUUCUGAUCUUUCACUCGAGUGGAUUCUCAUCUCUGGAUGUGGGGGAACUACUGAGCAGCAUAGAUUUUGCUUUAGUGUUUGCAUUAUUUUUUGGUGGCUCUUUUGGUUGGAUACCAUUUUUGAUCUCAGGCUCAGAUACACAGCAGAGACAUCUGUAUCUUUUGGAGCUAGUAACCCUGAAUUUGACAACCAUUUGUAUUUGAAGCAGGCAGUCGAUUUUGAAGACAAAAGAUCCUGAAUAGUAUAUCACGACAUACAACCCUGACUAGUUCAGCCAAUAUUGUCUCCUGGAGAACACGAGCUUGAUGUGUGAUUCAGGUCAGUCUUUUGUAUUCCGGUAGUCCUUUCAUC